GUGUUUUGCCAUUGUGUUGAUUGAACAGAGAUUGUAUGAUGAGUAGUACAGGAUAUUGUGUUUUUUGUAACUCCUUAACUUUUAUGUUACUGUGAUUUUGUAAGAGGCAAUUUUAUAGAGGUUUAUAGAGGCAGCAAUUGGUUUUAGUGUUUGUACAUUAGAGACAGCAUUUAGAGAG